GACAAGUGAAUGAAAACGGAAGGAAACUUACCAGGCUGCUCCGAACAGGAUACUACACUCCAAUGUACCAAAAAGUCCGACUUUACUCACGGCUCUGGACACUCUGUCAGCACCGUAGGAAAUGACCGCUUUGUCCGCUGAAGUAGAGUAAGAGUGUUGGUUUGCCGCAGGACAUAACUGGACAAAAGCCCUUGACUCAGAUCUGUAGCUGGUGGUGCGUUUCAUGACCUUCUCCACAUGCUGACAUCACCUGGGUAAACUUGAGCAAGUGUACUUGAACAGCGGGCAGUUUGGACGCUGUAAACAUCCCCGACUGGAAGCUGUCCGUCAACCGAGCUUUCAGUCUGAUGUUUGCUGCUGCCGGUGUCCAUAGACACGGGAAAUAAAACAAAGAGCAAGAUAUGAUUUAGGCUGACUUUUUGCAUCGUUUAGAGUGUAUGUAUGCCAUUGCCAUUUUAUUCAAGCUCAGACCAUGUAAACAUCCUACACUCAGCUGUGAGCAGAUGCAGCAGAGGCUGAGAGAAGGUUGUUUACUUGUACUGGCUGGAAAAAGCAGUCAUGCGUAUCAAAGUUAAUCCAAGACUCAAUGACAAAGAUAAAGAGCAAUAAACAAUAGAUUUGUCAUAUGUGCAGCUGUUUCAAUAAAUCAAUAAACAAAUGUGCCUUUUUUACG